CUACCUUUAUAUCUGAUUUUUACUGUUUGUAACAUGUUUAGAUGAAGAGUUGCACGUCAAAUGCGUUAAUUUUUUUUUAAAAAAAUUAUUAACUUAUUUGCAAUUCGUUGUUUGGAUAGAAAUUAGUUGUAGUAGAUGGAGGGUAUGGGGAAUUUUUUAUGUAAUUUUGUGUUUCGUCGAGAGAAAGUUUGUUGAUUUUUGCUGUAUAUACACACAUGCUAUGUGUAAUCCGUGUGUAUAUGGAGCGUAUUCAGUGAUUUGACAUACUUCUACUUAUGCAAUGAUAUUUUUUAGGGUCUAAUAUAUCAGUUAUCAAUAUUGAUUAGGCAAGAAAAAUCUAUGUUGCUCGGACUCUUCAAAAAUGUCAACAGGUGCGUGUAGGAUUCUCCAAAAGUAGUGUACUUUUAGAGAAUCCGACAUGAGUAUGACAUUGAAAGUGAAGAGUCUGUGCAACUUAGAGAAAAAUAUCAAUCGAAUUGAAAGGCCAGAAGAUAACAAUUGAGUUGAAUGUCGAGUCUUCCGAUGUGGAGAGCUUCACCAUCUGGGGCUUCUUGGAACCACAACAGUGUUCAAUCACUGCAGGAUUCAGGUUCACAAAUGAUGUCAAAUAAAUUCAACCCAUAUAAUUUUCCAAAUAGUUUUAGCUUGAGGACAUAAAUUUUAAGGCUUCCUCUGUUUUAACUUGUGCUCUGUUGUGUAAAGAAUUUCACAGAUGAUAUACUAUAUCCACAGGAGUUCGUUGGCAUCUUGAGAGGGACAAAAUAGCAUCUAGAAUACAAUUAGAUGCAACAGAUGAUCGUUAUUCUUAUCAGGAGUUGUUUUCUCUAACUUCAGUCAAGGAAGCAUAAGGUUCUUCAACACGGGAAAUCAAGUCGGCCACAAUUUGGAAUUUGAAAACAGGAAUAGUUUGGGAGACAUUUUUUAUGUUAUUUUUGGGUUAUGCAUAAAUACAUAGAAGGGAAAUUUACGUAAAUGUACUAUAUUAAGAAAAUAUUUAUCGUUUAUAGCAAUAAUAUUUUUUUUUCACUGAA